AGGAGUACUAAAGUAGAA
rnacentral:miRNA from 1 species